GCUGAAUGUGGGGAUAAUUUAUCUCCGUGUUGUAGCUAACGCGUUAAGCACUCCGCCUGGGGGCUACGGUCGCAAGACUAAAACUCAAAGGAAUUGACGGGGACUCGCACAAGCGGUGGAGCAUGUGGUUUAAUUCGAUGCAACGCGAAAAACCUUACCACUCCUUGACAUGGAGAUUAGAUCCUUCUUAACAGAAGGGCGCAGUUCGGCUGGAUCUCGCACAGGUGCUGCAUGGCUGUCGUCAGCUCGUGUCGUGAGAUGUUGGGUUAAGUCCCGCAACGAGCGUAACCCUCAUCCUUAGUUGCCAGCGGGUAAGCCGGGCACUUUAAGGAAACUGCCGGUGGUAAACCGGAGGAAGGUGGGGAUGAUGUCAAGUCAGCACGGCCCUUAUGGGGUGGGCUACACACGUGCUACAAUGGUGACUACAAUAGGUUGCAAUGUCGCAAGGCUGAGCUAAUCCGUAAAAGUCAUCUCAGUUCGGAUUGUCCUCUGCAACUCGAGGGCAUGAAGUCGGAAUCGCUAGUAAUCGUGGAUCAGCAUGCCACGGUGAAUACGUUCUCGGGUCUUGUACACACUGCCCGUCACGCCAUGGGAAUUGGCUUAACUCGAAGCUGGUGCGCUAACCGAAAGGAAGCAGCCAU
rnacentral:rRNA from 1 species